rnacentral:sRNA from 1 species
AUUUAGCCCUGAUAGUAGUGGAAAGCUUUUUGAAACGGGAAGCUAUUUUUGUUGCUAGAAAAAAGCGACCAAAGGAAGCUCUUUUUUUAGCGUACAAAAAUAGCUUAACGUGAAAAAACUUGAAACGGAUAGCAGGAUUAGCU